rnacentral:sRNA from 1 species
CUAGCAAACACGGAGAACAAUCACUCCAGAUCAUGAUACCAGCACCUACCCUCCUAACUGCCUUCUGGGUUGUUUCUCAAAGGUGAGAAAACGGCAGGAAGACCCAGAGCUGUGCAGAGAAUCAGGGCCACUGGAUGACCCUGCUGGGAUAAGCUCUACAAAAUAUUAAUGUAUCCAGCCCAGCCUAAGAAGAGUGAUACUAUGGGGGCUUUCCUCCUCUACCCUCUUCAGGCAAGGGCCCCCGACAUCCUGCAAGACUGCUAGAGUUUCCGGUGUCUAGUGCCGCUUGUUCAGAACGACAGAACCCUCUCCAGAGACCCAAGGCUGACCCCAGACUCUGUCCAGAGCCCAUUUCUGAGGGUCCACGUGAACAUUUCAGCUUUACAUGAAUGCUCAUCGGAGAUGCAAAUUUCCUCUCAUAUUGGAGAUGGCCAUGGAGUCUUACUUGCGCAGCAUCCUUCCGCGGUUUCUAAAGAGAAAACAAAACAACAACAAAAACCAUGCGUGGGACUCCUACUACUGCAUCUGAGCCUUUCGGAUGCUUCUGCUCAAAAAGUCCAGUCCAGAAACCCAUGAGUGUGGUGGGGUGGUGAUCUGUGAUUUGCAUCUUCCCGCAUCACUUGUGCUGUUUUCGAAGAGUUGUGCAGAUCCUAGAUAUAUCAGAUGGAGAAUUGAAGAGGUGGCCCUGUCAUCCUACAGGAAGACCCACGGUGAAACCGACAAGACAACAUUCUACUUUAUUGAGCUAAUUAUUUGGGAACUGUUCCUGUUUCAGACCAUCCUCAGACAUGCCAACUGGGGCUGCUGGUACAAUAGCCAGAAGAUCAAUCACUUUGAAGGACUUUUAAGUCCUCACCACAUCAUCAGAUUGAGAAUUUGUAAUGCACCGGAAAAUGAGUCGGAAAAGUAGUUUGACAGAUCAGGUGUGACCAAAUUAGCAAAUAGGUGUCUGGAAAGUAGCAACCUGCUCAUUGCAGAAGACUCACCUAGAACACAUGUAUUCAAACUGGUCUCAGAUCCUAAUUGCAUCCGUAAAAGAAUACAGUCUCCAGCAUGAAUACGCUGUUCUGUGCUUGUCACGAAUACGGUGCUUGAUCCCUAUUACCCUGCUGAUGUAGAAAGAAGGGAAAGUUACCAAGGAUGAGCUAUGAAUCAUUCUCCUGUGAUUUCUGAUCUUCAGUGUCAACUUGACUAGAUUUAGAAUCACCCAGGAUAUGAUAAGGCACAUCUCUGGGUGGAUCUGUGUUUUCAGAAAGAAUUAGCUGAGUGAGAAGACCAAUCUUGGAUGUAGGUGGCAUCAUCCGAUGGGUUAGAAGCCCAGAGGAAAAAAGAAGCCAGCAAAUCAUUUCCCUGUCCUCUGCCUCCUAGCUCCACAGGAUGUGAACAGCUUCUAUCACACAUUUCCACUGCUAUGAACAGAGCUGUUCUGCUCUUCCUUCCCCACUCUUCUGGGCUGAAAUCAAGAUCCAGAGCAACUAACUCUUCCUUUUAGGUUAUUCUCUGGUAUUUUGGUUUCAGCAAUUCAGAAGCAACUAAUAUAUCAUCUUCAGCCAUGGUCUCAUGAGCUCGGCCAUCCAGAGACAAUGGGUCAGUUCAAGAAAGUGACAUUAAGUAACUAUCAAAGCAGAAAUGAUACUAGAGGGACAACUUGUACAGCCACAGAUUGGUCUAGUGGGAAGGUGGUGAUGAAGACUAUAGUGGCCUUACUCUUCUGUUUAAUAAUCCAAGGAUGUCAUACAUGUGAAAGGAGAGGUCAUGGAAGGCUUUUCCACAGAGCUACAUCAUGAUAUGAGCUCCUGAUAUUCUAGAACCUGAUCAUAAUUGUGUUCAACCCAGAGAAGGUAUAAACUCCAAUGGUGGAUGUAGACGGUCUCACACCUACAUGGGUCUAAUCUUAGAACAGCGCAUGAGAGAAUACAUGUGUAAGCUCGGAACAGUGCAUGUAACCAGCAUGGCCUGUGAACAAAUAACAUGCUUCGGAUUACCCACAUGGCAAGUAGACAUAGCAGCGGUUCCUAAUGUAGGGAGGGUUCUCAGCUGCACACAAGUGCUUUACUUUUAAACCCUAGCCCUGAAACAUAAAUUGUCAAGGUGUUCUUGAUUUGUAACCAGAUGCAGAGUGAAGUGUGGACAGAAGUGACCCACUGUAAGUAGCUUGGCUUUCAAGAGAAGUGGUUGUGACUUUACUGUGAUGGUACCCACUGAAAGCAGUCAAGCAGUACUUAUGUAAUUAUUACGUCAUUAGCUAAUUGAGGAGUAACUAUAUGGGGCUCUGGAUUGUAUGAAAGGUCUGUAAAAAUUAUAAUUAAAUCACAACUUUGUGUUUUUCUU